GUAGGUGAACCUGCGGAAGGAUCAUUAACACGUGAUACUCACGUAUUAAAACCCACCGAGAAAUAGUUAUAUUAUCCUAGUUUCAGAUGCAGGCAGACUUUGUGAGGAAAUGCUAUUGGUCGCGCUUCCGAAAGGUAUGAGUCUACACCAUGACUCACAAAGUUGUUCUUAGGUCCGCCCUGGAGUUUGCGCUGACGACUAGUUGACGAGUUACGACUGCUUAUUAAGCCUGUAGCAUAGCUUGCAGAUC
rnacentral:misc_RNA from 1 species